rnacentral:rRNA from 1 species
AUGGUCUUCAAGCUUGAUUUCAGGAAAGCUUUUGACUCCAUCUGCUGGUCCUCCCUCUUUCAAAUCCUACAAGCUCGAGGGUUCCCUCCAAUUUUUUGCUCCUGGGUAAACGACAUUCUCUACACUGGGAAAACGGCCAUCCUCCUAAAUGGCAUCCCGGGGCCAUGGAUCCAAUGUAGAUGCGUCCUAAGAAAAGGAGAUCCCUUCUCAUCUUACUUGAUCAUCAUCGUUGCAGAUGUCCUCCAAAGAAUGAUCGCUAGCGCUUUCCAGCAGAAUUUUCUUUGUCACCCACUACGACCAAAUGAACCACCUAUUACGCUGCAGUACACCGACGAUACCCUAAUCAUUGAUGCUGCUAACGAUACAACCACCUUAACCCUAAAACAGAAACUACACGAUUUUGCCCUUGCAACGGGGUUGCUUACCAACUUCCAAAAAACGGCACUCCUCACCAUCGCCACUGAUCCAUCCAUGCAAAACAACAUCGCCACUGCUAUUGGAUGCUCAUUAUCCUCCUUUCCACUAAUGUACCUAGGCCUUCCUCUCUCCCCCACCAAACUGCCGCUCAUAGCCUUCGACCCGAUCAUUGACAGCUAUCGAAAAUUCCUCUUCGGCUGGGUAGCGCGUCUGCUUUCUCGAGGUGCUCGUCUGACUCUGCUAACUGUAGUCCUCGACUCACUAACAGUCUAUUUUAUGUCAAUUUUCGUCUGCCUAAGUCAAUUAUAG